GACGAACGCUGGCGGCGUGGAUUAGGCAUGCAAGUCGAACGGUAUCAUCCUUUCGGGGGUGAGAGAGUGGCGAACUGGUGAGUAACACGUAGGUUAUCUACCCUCAAGACGGGGACAACCCAGGGAAACUUGGGCUAAUACCGGAUGUGAGCAACUUUUAGUUGUUUGAAAGGUGGCGUAAGCUGUCGCUUGGGGAUGAGCCUGCGUCCUAUUAGUUAGUUGGUGAGGUAACGGCUCACCUAGGCAAUGAUAGGUAGGCGGCCUUAACGGGUGGUCGCCCACACUGGGAUUGAGAUACGGCCCAGACUCCUACGGGAGGCAGCAGUCGAGAAUAGUCUACAAUGGUCGGAAGACUGAUAGUGCGACGCCGCGUGAACGAUGAAUCCCUUCGGGGUGUAAAGUUCUUUUAUAUGUGAGCAGUGCUUCUUAUAUUAACAGUAUGGGGAAGAGAUAUUAGCAUAUGAAUAAGCAACGGCUAACUCCGUGCCAGCAGCCGACGGUAA
rnacentral:rRNA from 1 species